rnacentral:sRNA from 1 species
GUGUACGAGUGGUACAUGCCGAUUCCGAGCACCGGCCGCGCCCACUUGGCGACUGCGCAGUGGCUUUGCUAGCC